AAGAAAGGUUUCGAUUGUGUAUUUAGACUUUGAACACGUUAUUGAAAGCCUUACAGAUGAGACAGAGAAGGAAAUACAUUGACGGUGAAGGAAGAAAGGUUUCGAUUGUAUAUUUAGACUCUGAACACGUUAUUGAAAGCCUUACAGAUGAGACAGAGAAGGAAAUACAUUGACGGUGAAGGAAGAAAGGUUUCGAUUGUAUAUUUAGACUCUGAACACGUUAUCGAAAGCCUUACAGAUGAGACAGAGAAGGAAAUACAUUGACGGUGAAGGAAGAAAGGUUUCGAUUGUAUAUUUAGACUCUGAACACGUUAUCGAAAGCCUUACAGAUGAGACAGAGAAGGAAAUACAUUGACGGUGAAGGAAGAAAGGUUUCGAUUGUAUAUUUAGACUGUGAACACGUUAUCGAAAGCCUUACAGAUGAGACAGGGAAGGAAAUACAUUGACGGUGAAGGAAGAAAGGUUUCGAUUGUAUAUUUAGACUCUGAACACGUUAUCGAAAGCCUUACAGAUGAGACAGGGAAGGAAACACAUUGACGGUGAAGGGAGAAAGGAUUCGAUUGCAUUAUGAACAUGAACUUGCGAUCGAAAACCCUACAAAAGGUAAA